rnacentral:tRNA from 1 species
GGUGGCUCAGUGGUAGAGUGCUUGCCUUGCAUGCAUGAAGCCCUGGGUUCGAUUCCCAGCACCA